GCGGGUAUAGCUCAGUGGUAGAGCUCGUGCCUUCCAAGCACGAGGCCGCGGGUUCGAACCCCGCUGCCCGCUCCA
rnacentral:tRNA from 1 species